rnacentral:rRNA from 1 species
GACGAAGCGUCCAAGCGUUAUUCGGAAUCACUGGGCUUACAGGGUGCGUAGGCGGCUAUUCAGGUCAGGUGUGAAAGCCCCCGGCUCAACCGGGGAACUGCGCUUGAAACCGAGUGGCUCGAGUCAGCUAGAGGUACACGGAACUUCCAGUGGAGCGGUGAAAUGUGUUGAUAUUGGAAGGAACACCGGAGGCGAAAGCGGUGUACUGGGGCUGGUCUGACGCUGAGGCACGAAAGCCAGGGGAGCGAACGGG